rnacentral:lncRNA from 1 species
CCGGUCACCGCGCACGCUCCCCUCGGGGCUUGCUCCGGCGAGGUCGAUCAGGCUGGUGGUGUGGCGCAGGCGGCGCGACCUGAGCACCUGCUCCCUCACGUGGUGCGGCAGCCGCAGGGUGAACCUCUCGUGGUCGCUCCGCUCGGCGGCCGCCGCCGACGCCGCGAAGAGCGAGUGCCCCAUCGAGUGCGACCUCGACAGCCUCUCCGCCCGCCGCUCGCUGCGCAGCAUCUCCAGCUCCAUCGCCUCCUCCUUCCUGUCGUCCUCGUCGCUCUCCUCCUCUUCCCG